UCAAGUUGAAAAUCUCUGCUGAUCCUGAAUAAACCCACCUUUGCUGGAGAAAUAUCUGGCAGUCUAUUUGUUUCAGGUCAAAAUUUUGGUAGCCCACACAGGGACCAUUGAAGAUCCUCCCAUGGCUUCCGCGCUGGUGAGCAAACAGGCUCCACCAGCUUCUGGGCAAUGGAAGGAAGCCAGAAAUGACAGGGAUUUAGGAUGACAAGGCAACAGGCUCAACGUAUUUCAGGUCCCUAGGAACAUCCUUCUCACAGCUGCCCUCACACCAGGCAGGACUUAACACAGGGAAGUGAACAGUGGUGAUGAUGCAGAGC